rnacentral:rRNA from 1 species
AGUGAACGCUGGCGGUAGGCCUAACACAUGCAAGUCGAACGGCAGCACAGUAAGAGCUUGCUCUUACGGGUGGCGAGUGGCGGGCGGGUGAGGAGUACAUCGGAAUCUACUUUUUCGUGGGGGAUAACGUAGGGAAACUUACGCUAAUACAGCAUACGAUCUACGGGUGAAAGCAGGGGAUCUUCGCACCUUGCGCGAUUGAAUGAGCCGAUGUCGGAUUAGCUAGUUGGGCGGGUAAAGGCCCACCAAGGCGACGAUCCGUAGCUGGUCUGAGAGGAUGAUCAGCCACACUGGAACUGAGACACGGUCCAGAGUCCUACGGGAGGCAGCAGUGGGGAAUAUUGGGCAAUGGGCGCAAGCCUGACCCAGCCAGACCGCGUGAGUGAAGAAGGCCUUCGGGUUGUAAAGCCCUUUUGUUGGGAAAGAAAAGCUGCAGCUUAAUACGCCGCUGUUCUGACGGUACCCAAUGAAUAAGCACCGGCUAACUUCGUG